ACGCUGGCGUCCGUGCCUAACACAUGCAAGUCGAACGAGAGGGUGUGGCUGUAGCAAUACAGUCGCUCCCCUAAAGUGGCGAACGGGUGAGUAACACGUAGCUAACCUACCCUCGAGCGGGGAAUAACCCGGGGAAACCUGAGCUAAUACCGCAUAAUAUUCCGAUGGCCCAAGUCAUUGGGAUCAAAGGCCCGCAAGGGUCACUUGAGGAGGGGGCUGCGGCCGAUUAGCUAGUUGGUGGGGUAAUGGCCUACCAAGGCGAUGAUCGGUAGCCGGCCUGAGAGGGCGCACGGCCACACUGGCACUGAGAUACGGGCCAGACUCCUACGGGAGGCAGCAGUGGG
rnacentral:rRNA from 1 species